UGCCCCUUUUUGUUUCUUUAUUACGAAGCUGCCAUUCAAUAUCUUGACGGUGAUAAGAGAGACCGGGAUAGAUGUCUUCUGGGUCUUUAACGAGGGGAAGAGGUCUUCUGCAAGAUUACAGAGAGAAGAAAAGGGAUGUGAGAGGUCUUCUGCGAGAGACAUGCACAGAAAGAAGAAUAGGGAAAUUCACAUCGCGAGACUGAUCGGAGAGAGAAGGAGAAGAGGGAGACAAGAAGAAGAAGAAGAAGAAGAAGAGGAGUCUGGAUUGCCCGACGUAGAGAGAAAGAGAAGUGCGCCGAUCAGGUCUUCCACAAGCGGAAGGAGUUUCUAGGUCUUUUACUUUUCCACUUCUACCAUAAGCCUGUACGAUUAUUUCUGUCUUCUUCGAUGAUGAUUGCUUUAAAUUAUCGGCGUGACAUCAUUGAGGUGACGCUAACUUUAUGUUCUUUGGGGACCUUGAAGAGAAUAUUAUUUUAGCAGGGUAAAGGGAACCCAAUCAUAGCAAGUGUUUAUUUCUUCGUUAGCUACCAUUUGAUUGGAUCCAGUGGAUUACUAUUUGAUAGAAAGCGCAAGGAUUCCUCCGCUGACCAGUGAUUGAGCAAAGGAGAAAAGAACGGCUUUGGGUCUGAGUUUGUAAUUGAAAUUAUAUGCCUGUUAAUUCAAAGAUUGAAUCGACCAGUACCUCGACUUGACAUGAGCGUCAAAGUGUUCAUCAUUAGUAAGCAAACAUACCCGCGGCAUCGCGCGGGAGGAAUUGCCUAGUGUACUCUAUUACGUGAAGGGUAUUGAUGCUUAAUUAUAUAAGU